AGGUGGAGGAUCUAGGACCUCUGACUGUCAGGGGAUUCUGCAAAUGCAAACUUAAACAACUGCAACAAGAUGGGGCACUCCGAGAGGCAGAUUCCCAGCUUGCAGGAAGUAGUUUGUUUCUCCCAUCGCUCUGGGGGAAGGGGAGCGGAAAAGUCAGCAUCGGACCUGUUCUCCACACACCCUUGUUCCACAGCAUCUGGCCUCUCUUUCGAUUUUAUUAAACAAGAAUAACAAUAAAGCAGGUCUGCGACCCCGUCUACGGAAUUUGCCGUAUUUUUUCCAACGGUCUGUGCUGAUGCUCCGAAUUUCCAUUUUCUGCAUGCAUAUUUAAUUGAGUUUUGUCCCAGUGGUGCGGAAAUGAUUUGUUUUUUGCUCUCUGUUCACUUGACUCCUCUUCGGAGUCGGUAACCCUGAUUAAGACGUUCACGUUAAUUUCCCAGCGCACACCUUUUUUUGUGCAUUAAUGGUUCUGAUCGUCUAAUUAAAACUUCUCAGCUUCGCUGCUGAUCACCGCUCGUUGUGCCUCUGACCUGAAGUUUUAAUUGCCGCGUCAGAGGCGAUAAUAAUAAUUUCUGGGUUCUGAUUAUUAAAAACAAUGCCAUUCCCAACUGCUGCUUAAAGCGGGAAAAGAUGGAAGGAGAGGCUGAGGUGAAGCAUAAAGAAAAAGGAGGUGAAAGAAAGAGAAUUAGAAGGUAAAAGAUGGUUAUUUGAGCUUUGAAACAGGUUUGUUUGGUAUCACAGUAUGAGCGGGGAGGAUCGGUGCUCACAGGGCAGGUUUACCUGGUUUGCAGUGUACUGUAAAUGAGGGCAAAUAUGACAAAACAAAUAAAAACUUCUCAGAACUGCACAAGGUUAAAAGAAACCCU